ensembl:lncRNA
UGUUGCUUGUCCUUGAAUGUUUUGGGAGGAUGAAUGAGCUCAUAGAUAAGGGAAUCCUUCGACUUCAGAGAAUAUGCUGUGUAAUGUUGAGAAUCCCAGAGGGUUGUGAAAAACAUUGAUGGAAGACUCAAUGAUCCAUCCAGUAAUUAGCAUAAUGGGAGGACCUAAUAUCAUUGUAUAACCAUACUGUAUAAAAAUGUGUGUUUAAGGUUUGGAAGUCAGUUGUUCUGCAGACCAACUCAGCUUUUUUUAAUCUUCAUUUAAGUCUAUUUUGGAUUCACAAGUUCCUGAGUUUUUGCAUCUUUUUUGGCCGGACAUUCUUUGGUUGGGUCACACAAACAACACGUGGCCACAUUGAGAGGUAAGCAUGUUCUUACUUUAAUUUAGUGGUUUCUGUGACUUGAAACACCUGGCCUGGCAGUUUGGCACCACAUAAGGCCUUACCAAAUUCAACGAACCUAACUUAUUUGAUUGAGGCAAUGGGGAGCUUUUGAAUCCAAAAAUGUGGGGGUAAAUGGCAUGCUACACAUUUUAGGUAGGACAUAACACAACAAGAUAGGUCAUAUUUAAAUAAGUGUGAGGGUUGCAACCAGUAUAAGUCCUGUGCCCCCAUCACGGUCUGUUAGGGCCAACCGUGAGUGAUGAGGAGGCUGGCAGGAUUCGUGAUACUGGCUUGACGGCCUGAGUGACUGCAUGGACGAAUCCACCGCGCUGAGUCACCCUCAGUAGGAGAAGAAGACUGCUGUGGGACAGGACCAGGCGGCUUUGAAUUUAGCUGUAGUGUGCCCUGCGAGAACCGCCUCAGACAUAAACUUUGGGGGACAGCACGGGUGGGGGCUAAAUGAGUGGUCGCCUCUCAUAGGUGUGUGGGAGUCCGCUGCUGUGUGAUAGUAGAGCGGGAAUGGUUAGGGCCAAGAGUGGGAAAGUAUAGCACUCUCCUGCUAGGAGGAGUAUAGAUGACUAAGUUAAGGGGUGUGUAGGCGCAGAGAGAAUUGUUGAGAGAAGUGUUGAGUUAAGAGGUGUAGAAGUAGAGAAAAUUGUGUUUUAAGAGAAUUGUUGAGUUGUUUGUGAAUGGGAUGAAGGUCAAUAUUCGAGAAGACAGGCUGAGGUCGAACAGGAACUUAGUUCCAAGGAGGUAUAUGAUACGUUGUGUGCACACCCCAUGGAUACCGCUCCAAUGAUGUUGGAUGUCUGAAUGGGUGGAGUUGUAAGAAGACCUGUAUGGUAACGUCCUGUGGACCUGGAAGCAGGCAGGGACCACUAGACUGUGAGUGUGAAUGUGUGUACGAAAGAGAAAGUGUGUGAGGGAAGAGAAUUCCUGUCUGUUUGUAAGGAAGUGUGUGAAAGGAGACUCAUUGGGAGUGAUGGGCAUAGCGGAGAAAUUGCUAGUAGAUGAUAAUGAUAUUUGUCUGAGUGCUAGAAAAGUGACGAGUGGAUAGAUGGGAAGAAAGGUAAAUGAAGAAAAUAGCCAGUUAGACAGAUAUUUUGGGAGAUGUGCCACGAGAAAGUAUUCAACAGUGGACAAAGGAUCUGGUCAAGUUUUGGGUAAUCAUUUGUGUAAACAUAGUUGUCAUCUAAGUGGUUUCAUCCUAUUGUUUGACAACAUUGUAUAGGUGGUCGGUUGGUUAAGUUUGACUGAGUCCAGUUAAAGGAUAGUGAGAGGAGUCAAAUAGAUAAGAUUUUUGGCUGGCAUCCCAGAAAGUAGGGAGUAACUCUAAGCAUCCCAAUCCAGAAAUCAGAGACACACUAGGAGAGAGGUGCAAAAGAUGACAGACACACCAAUUGAGAUUCUGGGAAGUAGAUUCCCAAUAUUAAAAUAAAUCAAAAUAGAGUAAAAUCUGGUUCUAUAUGGCAAUAUUUUAAUGGCAAUUGCUCUGUGUACACGAAGUUGUAGGAAAAUUGAGCUCAUCUAAAUUAUGAAACAUGACAAAGACAUGUCAAAUUACAAUCAAGUGGCCAGUGUUAAAUGUAUUGUCUGUGUGUUUGUACGUCAUUUGUUCGUCAUGUUAUGUAUCUAUGUCGCAAACUAACGCCAUGCUUGCUUAUUUGGGUUAUUUGCUCUAUAUGUCUACAAGAUCAGUGAUUUGAGUUUUACUCUAAAAGGAGAGGAAGAAAGUGAGUGCUACGUUUAUGGAACAUUGGUAAAUUGGUAAUUCCCAAUUUAGGACAUUAAAAAGAGAUAGACAUCAGAUUGGGGUUUAAAAUUGUUGGUUAACACGCAAUUUUAAAUUCAGUAAGUUAAUGCUAAACUCUCCAGUCAAGGUUUUAACUUUGUGUUGUGCGAGAUUCCAUCUUUGUUCCUCACAAAGUAGGAGUCCUGAAUCAUGCAACCUUAAUACACCUUGUACAAUGAAGGGGUACCUCACACAGAUGGCCCAGAUCAUUCCAAGGCCAAACCAAGCCCAGACCUGUGAGAGACUGCCUUGGGUUCAAAAUAAGAAAAUUGGACAGCGACGAUUCCAGCUACACCACACCCAAGGAGAGGUUGGAGGAAUGGAGAGACUGAUGGUUCCAGCUACACCACAUCCAAGGAGAGGUUGGAGGAAUGGAGAGACUGAUGGUUCCAGCUACACCACAGCCAAGGAGAGGGUGGAGGAAUGGAGAGACUGAUGGUUCCAGCUACACCACAGUCAAGGAGAGGUUGGAGGAAUGGAGAGACUGAUGGUUCCAGCUACACCACAGCCAAGGAGAGGGUGGAGGAAUGGAGAGACUGAUGGUUCCAGCUACACCACAGUCAAGGAGAGGGUGGAGGAAUGGAGAGAGGCACGCAGAACAAAGAGGCUUCUACAUCCAUGACUGUAACAGUCAGGAGCCACUUGACUGGACAUGGGGGAAUCACAGAGGAGAGAGGAGUUGAUGGUGUUGCAGACCUCUAAAUCAAUGCAUGGAGACGAUUUGGGAACAAUGAUGUGAAGUGAUACCUCCCGCGACCAUUUCUGGGUUCCAGAACCUGAUUCAUGAACGUUUCAUUGGGGGGGGGGUGGCGGAAGGCCUGACCUUGUUAUGUCUGGAACGCAUCAACGGUGAGACAGAAGAGCAACAGAUCUGAGGCACAGAGUGGCUCACUACAAAAGAAAAUGGGACUGAGUUUCUGUUAAAGUAUUUACAACAUCAAGACCAAAGAAAAGAGGCCUUUGGGUCAAAAUGUCAACAGACAUCACAUAAGGACAAUGUGCCAGGUGAAGGGAGAGGACUAGGGAGUAACUUCCCAGUUAAGUCACACUUUGCCAUGUAUUGGGAUAGAGGUUGUGACAAAUGAGGUCUAAAUUGAGUGGGAAGUCAAAACUAAAAUUUAACUAUUUUGUUAUAGCCCACCAAGCAACUAUAAGAGAAAGAGGUGUUGAAGAAAUAAAAUGAAAUAUUUGGGGAAAAGUAUGGGACAGGAAAAUGACCAGUGAGGAAUUAGAUACUUUCAUAUCGUGGAAACAACCCAGAAAAUGAGUAACUAAUAGGUAGAAUAGGGACACAAGCAGUACCACGGUCCAGACAAUGAAACCAGGGACACGGCAAGUGAGAAGAAGGACAAGGCAAGUGAAAUGAAGGAUAGGAGAGAUGGAAAGCAGGGAAAGAGAAGUGAAAUGCGGGAGAUCAGAAGUGGGUACAAGAAGUACAAUGAUGGUCAGAGAAGUGGAAAAGUAAAUAAAUGGUGAGAAUCUGAGAUUGAUAAGGAUAGGAGUCCAAGAUACCGAAAACCUGUGGAGGAAGGUUUAAAGAUCUUGGGCAGGCAUGAAUGUUUUUAGGCCAGUGGUAUGAUUGUAGGGAGAAAUGUAAAACCAUUAUUAAUUUGGAUAAUAUCGACAUAGUAAUAGGGUUGUCUUACAGUAGCUGUUUCCCUUGCCCUUUUAGGGGAUAUAGGUGUAGGUAUUGCAGGAAAACAAAUAUCCUAGGAAGAUACGUGAACAAAUGUUUCAUGAUGACAUUAUCAUUUCCCAAGACCCUAUGAUUGUGCUUUGUGUCAAAGGGGGGACUGUGAUUUCUGUGCUGAGAAGGACUGAUCUCCAUUGUAAAGAUGGUUUCAAGUUCCUAGGUGGAUGGUAGCCAACCUAUUACAAAGAGAGUACUGCUUGGAGAAUUAGAUGGUUUAUUAUUUUUAUUAUUUUACUUAUAUUCUCAUACUCUCUUUGAUUGAAGUGAUUAUCAUUCAAAUGAUGUAUGUUUUAUUUUAUGCAAUUUAUACUCAUUUUAUAAUCAGUUUAUAUUCCAUUCAUAUGUAAUCGUUUGAAACAACAUAUUUUGCAAGGCUCUGAAAGAAAUCUGCACAUGCUUACACAAACUGACUUGAUUGGUCAGGUUAGAAUUAUUUUACUUCCUCCCAGCCAAACAGGGAGGGAAAGGUUUGGCUUCCAGCCUCUGGAGUGGUGGUUGACAGAGGAGAUUGUUUUAGAUAAUUGGGUUGAUUUCAACUCUCUUAUAGGAACUGAGUUUUCCUCCUCACCUGCCGUUUCCAGGUCUAGAUUGUGGGACUUAGAGGGGGGAUGUGUAGGGAUAUUUUCAUAAAAUGUUGUUCUCUCACAUUAACCCAAUGAAGAGUAGACAGAACGUCUCAUGUGAUCUCUUGCAUAUCAAUUGGGUGUUAAUGAAAUAUUUAACCAAGGCUCAUACUUUUCCCAAACAGUCCAAUUGUCUUUGAUGUUUCCACAUUUAAUUGUUAAGAGUGGCUGAUGAAGAAUACGGUAAACAGUUUGGAUUUCUAUGUGUGUCAAGGUCAACAGCUGUGCUCAGUUUUUCUUCUUACUAUACUGAUGUGACUAAGGAGCAACAGUUUAUUUCAUCUUGAUGUAAGAAUGACCUGUUGCUUGUCCUUGAAUGUCUUGGGAGGAUGAGUGAGCUCAUAGAUAAGGGAAUCCGUCCAUUUCAGAGAAUAUGAUGAGUAGUGGCUGGGGGAGCGAAUCCUAGAGGGUUGUGAAAAACAUUGAUGGAAGAUUCGAGGAAGGAUCCAUCCAGAAAUUAGCAUAAUGGGAUGACCUAAUAUCAUUGUAUAACCAUACUGUAUAAAAAUGUGUGUUUAAGGUUUGGAAGUCAGUUGUUCUGCAGACCAACUCUGCAUUUUUUAAUCUUCAUUAAAGUCUAUUUUGGAUUCACAA